UACGUAGGGGCAAGCGUUGUUCGGAAUUACUGGGCGUAAAGGGCGCGUAGGCGGCACAGCAAGUCGGGAGUGAAAGCCCGGGGCUCAACCCCGGAAUGGCUUUCGAAACUGCUGAGCUAGAGUACAGAAGGGGCAACCGGAAUUCCCAGUGUAGCGGUGAAAUGACGUAGAUAGUUGGGAAGAACACCUGAGGCGAAGGCGGGUUGCUGGGCUGAUACUGACGCUGAGGCGCGAAAGCCAGGGAGGCGAAACGGG
rnacentral:rRNA from 1 species